rnacentral:tRNA from 1 species
GUAAGUAUGGCUGAGUGGUUGAAGGCAACGGUCUGUAAAACCGAUCCGAAAGGCGCAUAGGUUCGAAUCCUAUUACUUACACCA